rnacentral:rRNA from 1 species
AUUAUCUGUAGCUGUUCUGAGAGGAAGUACAGCCACAUUGGGACUGAGACAAGGCCCAAACUCCUACGGGAGGCAGCAGUGGGGAAUAUUGGACAAUGAGCUAAAGCUUGAUCCAGCAAUAUCGCGUGUGCGAAGAAGGGAAACUGUAAAGCACUUUUUUCUAAGAAUAAGACUUUUGAAUGUAUUAGAAGAAUAAGCGCCGGCUAAUUACGUGCCAGCAGCCGCGGUAAUACGUAGGGCGCAAGCGUUAAUCGGAAUUAUUGGGCGUAAAGCGUACGUAGAUUGUUUAUUAAGAAGAGAAUUAAAUCAUAAUCAAAAAAUUAUUAUCGUUUUCUUUACUGGUAAACUUGAGUGUAAAAGGGGGGAAUAGAAUUCUAUGUGUAGCGGUGAAAUGCAUAAAUAUAUAGAAGAAUACCAAUAGCGAAGGCAGUUCCCUAUUUUAAUACUGACAUUGAUGUACUAAAGCGUGGGGAGCAAACAGGAUUAGAUACCCUGGUAGUCCACGCCCUAAACUAUGUUAACUAAUUAUCAGUUUUGGUAGUAAAGCUAACGCGUUAAGUUAACCGCCUGGGGACUACGAUCGCAAGAUUAAAACUCAAAGGA